UUACCAGAAUUCAUGCUAAAUUUAGUCCAUGGGAUGGAUAAAUAUACCUAUAUAAAUACUGGACUUAUGAUUUUGGAAUGCAUGCUUUUUUGUAUAUCUUUCUUUUUCUUAAUAAGUUCUGUGGGCUUUUUUCCAUCAUGCAUCUUACAAACCUAGUCUUUUGUUUUAUUUUGUUGUUGUGCUCACCUUGUGUCGAAGCAAACUGUGACAAAGCAAAAUUAAAUAAAAUCAAAGAACGUGGCGAUGUACUGAGACCUGGUGACCUAAAAUUAAUGGCUGGAUGCAUUUUACGGAUGGCUAGAGUGGUAUUCCGUGUUCCAAGACGCACUGCCAGUACUCAAUGAAAGAUACCACGAAGAUUUAUUAACAUUAUCAUUUCAUGGUUUUUGUUAGAUCUAUGGAGAAUCUGAAGUUGUAAUAACAUUUUCAUUUCAAUGUUUUAUGUAAGAUCGAUGGAAAAUAUUAAGUUUUAUUAAUAUAAUCAUUUUCAUAUUUUUGAAAAUUGAAUG